AGAAAUCUAAAAGAACCAACGUUUUGAAGAGCUAAGAGCCACUUAGGGAGGAGUAAGUAAAGAAAGAAAUUUUGUUCUGACUUGCUUAGUUGUGAGGGUCCUGGUUUGAGUCUGGAAUUAGAGCAUAUUUCCUGAGUAAAGAGGAGAGGGAAGUGGAGGACUCGGUGCUAAAGAGGUGAAAUGUCUCGAGGUUCUGGAGGCAUACUGCUUCAACAAUGAAUGCCUGGGAUGUCUUCGCUGACUCUCUGAAAGGUAAAGUUUGGCAGAGUAUCAUAAUGUUGUCAUUUCUAACUGUGCAGUCAUCUUUUGAAAUGAAGGGCUGUUGACAACGUAGUUAGAAAUCCCAAAUAACCUUCCUACCUCCUUUCACCCUAGUCCUUCAAAAUCUUUUUGAAAGGAAGACAAGUACCAAAGUCUGAUGAAAGAAACUGUCAGCUCAUUUGAGCAAACAUUUGUCCUCUCACUAUUAAAUCCCAAGUACUAAUGCAAAAUUAUAUUAAAGCCCCAGAUCAUUUCAGGGAGUUAGGGCGAGAGUCUGCACUGAAAAACAGACAUAAUACCUAAUGACAACUGCCCCAUUUCUGGAUGUUCACACCAACACUGCCUCUCCUUCCAUGUUUUUUUAGAAGCCAAGCAAUCCCUCUAGAAAUACCAGCAGCAUCCAGAUUUUACAAAAGACUCACUUGCCAGCUAUAUUCUAGUUUAUUUGCCAAAGGUUGGUACUGGAAGGACAUUGGAAGAGAGAGAAAAGGACCAACAUGGUAGUGCACCUAGAUGCUGCACACAAAUGGUGCAGUUUCAAAGCAGCAGCAGUAACAGUGGCAUUGCCUCCAGCAAAGCAGAGGCAAGAAAGAGCUGAGGUCCAGCCCAGGGAUGGUAACAGCUUCCAGCUCUUCGAGUAAGCUCCUCCUCUCUUGGAUUCCUCUAAUGGCCUCUUUGCCCCAUUCAUUCCUCCUGCCCUUCUGACACUUGUGUAAGCAAUACCUCUGCUUGAAAGACCUAGAGUGCUUUCUUAUUCUGGCUGGACACUGACUGUUACACCUGGAAAAUUAUUAAACUAUUUCAAGCUAUUUUUCUCAGCAAUCUCAUUUACAAAUUUAAGAAAACCCAGAAGCACAAAAGAGAUAAAGAAGAUAAAAAGAUACCUUCCUUCUUCUUAAAAUAAUAAUGUCAUUUAGUCAUAAUAUUACAGUUUAGAAAUUACUUUCCAAAAAUUGGCCCAUUCAAUCAUAACAUUAAUGAUGUGGUUUAGAUUUUUUUACAUCACCAUUUGAUUCAUCCUCAAUAGAGUGUGUAGAUUACUUGUCUAAGGUCAUUAAAAAAAUCACAAAAUUAGAACCUGAACUCAGACCUUUUGACUCCAAGAACAGAAUGAAUUUAAGAAAAAAAUUUUUUUAAAUAAAUCCUUAGGUUUUAUGAAUUUUUCUGGCCCA
rnacentral:lncRNA from 13 species